UCCUGGGUGGCUCAGUCGGUUGAGCAUCCGACUGUGGCUCAGGUCAUGAUCUCAUGGUUUGUGGGUUCGAGCCCCACGUCAGGUU
rnacentral:tRNA from 1 species